UCCGGAAAGUUUGAAGUUUCAACCGUUGAAACUGAACUGGUUCGAACUGGUUGGAUGGAUGGAUGAUGGAUGGUGAUUGGGUAGACGGGCAGGCGUCAUUGCCAUUGCUUUAGCUCGUGCUUAUUGAGUACUUAUUUUUUGUAAUAUCUUUAAUUUCCGUGGCCGUUCAUUAUAAUUGGGUGGUGGAGGUUAAAUGUUAAAUAACACAUAUGCCAAUCCAGCGGAAGUUACACCAACAUCAUCAUCAUUAUGCAAUCGCCAUCGUUGUUGCAGCGACGAGUGUCGUAUUUUGUGAUAUUUCUUGUGACGACUCUUGUGGACAAAUACCAGCAUGGAAGACUUAAUAACAAUUGGGGUUUACAUUGCGAGACAACUGAGAUCAUGAGCGACGCCACAGCAGUCGGUCUGUGGAUUGCCCACCUGAGUGUCCUUAAAUGUGCAAUGAAAGCUCACCACACAACACACCGUAUUUAAUGUCCCUUGUGGAAGAUGGCAUGUCUAAGCAACCUGUAUCCUGGCACUAAGUUGCUGCUGUUUUUGGCCGGGUUCGAACCAGCGAUCUCGGGAUCAGAAGGCGAACAGACUCACUCACCAGGGCCGGUUCAUGGACAACUUGAACACCACAAUUAUGUUAACUCUGCCAUCAAGUAAUUCAGUUUCCUGCAUAUGUUUUGUAACAAUUGAACUUCAGUUUUGUAAGCCUGAAAGCUAAGCUUAGAACCACCUCUUAUAAUAUAGUGACUGUAUUUGAUGUGUGAAUGUGUUCACACCUCUUAAAAAGCUAAUAAAACAAAAAUCUUGAUGA